rnacentral:rRNA from 1 species
UACGUAGGGUGCGAGCGUUGUCCGGAAUUAUUGGGCGUAAAGAGCUUGUAGGCGGUUUGUCGCGUCUGCUGUGAAAAUCCGGGGCUCAACCCCGGACUUGCAGUGGGUACGGGCAGACUAGAGUGUGGUAGGGGAGACUGGAAUUCCUGGUGUAGCGGUGAAAUGCGCAGAUAUCAGGAGGAACACCGAUGGAGAAGGCAGGUCUCUGGGCCACUACUGACGCUGAGAAGCGAAAGCAUGGGGACGAACAGGAUUAGAUA